AGAGUUAAAUAGUACGUGAAAUUGUUGAAAGGGAAACGAUUAAAGUCAGUCAUGUUAGUAGGGAAUCAACCUGAUGGUAUGCGAACUUCUCGUGUCCUUUCCGGUGCACUUCCUUACUUACAGGUUAGCAUCAAUUUUGGUUAUCAUAAAAAAAUCAAGGGAAGGUGGCUUUUCUUCGGAGAAGUGUUAUAGACCUUGAUAAAUGUGAUGACCAGGAUUGAGGAUUGCAGCGGAUACCCUUUCGGGCUAGUCACCUGGCUUCUGAUGGUUACCCCGUCUUCGAUAGCUUGCUAACGUUGAUGGGACUCGAUUAUCUAGUUGUUAGAGUGAUCAUAAAUUCGCUAAGGAUGCUGACGUAAUGGCUUUAAACGACC
rnacentral:rRNA from 1 species